rnacentral:rRNA from 1 species
GACGAACCGUGCGAACGUUGUUCGGAAUCACUGGGCUUAAAGGGCGCGUAGGCGGGCUGCCAAGUCCGUGGUGAAAUCCCCCGGCUCAACUGGGGAAUGGCCUCGGAUACUGGCGGUCUUGAGGGAGGUAGGGGCGUGCGGAACUGUAGGUGGAGCGGUGAAAUGCGUUGAUAUCUACAGGAACUCCGGUGGCGAAGGCGGCACGCUGGACCUCUUCUGACGCUGAGGCGCGAAAGCCAGGGGAGCGAACGGG